AGCUUUGGUUCCACUUUGGCUAUACUUGUUAUAUCUUGUUUAGUUUGGUAUCUCCCGAUAGUGCAAGAUCAUCAUCACUAGUUGUUGCUCUGGUCUUUGCGCGAGAUUAGAGUAGUAUCAAAUAGUGUAAGCAUGGUGGUUAUACUAUAGGGUACCCUGGAUUUUUGCUAACUCUCUAGAUAGUUAUUACUUAUUAGUGGUAGGUAGCAGGUGAUGACUUGUUCAUCCUUUGUAUUCCACCACGUGUCAGUGUUUGAUGACCUACAACCUUGCUACGGGGUUACCAGAAGCGAGGAUUGUUGGGCUUUGGCGUAAACUGAACUCGAUGGUUAAACGCGAGACAAUAAUUUAUACAAGUUUUGGCCGCUGAGUAGCGUAAUACUCUACAUCAUGUGUGACGUGUUCCCUUGCGUUGGAUUGCUUUGUAUAAGCCG
rnacentral:lncRNA from 1 species